GAUGAACGCUGGCGGCGUGCCUAAUACAUGCAAGUCGAGCGAACAGACGAGGAGCUUGCUCCUCUGACGUUAGCGGCGGACGGGUGAGUAACACGUGGAUAACCUACCUAUAAGACUGGGAUAACUUCGGGAAACCGGAGCUAAUACCGGAUAAUAUAUUGAACCGCAUGGUUCAAUAGUGAAAGACGGUUUUGCUGUCACUUAUAGAUGGAUCCGCGCCGCAUUAGCUAGUUGGUAAGGUAACGGCUUACCAAGGCAACGAUGCGUAGCCGACCUGAGAGGGUGAUCGGCCAAACUGGAACUGAGACACGGUCCAGACUCCUACGGGAGGCAGCAGUAGGGAAUCUUCCGCAAUGGGCGAAAGCCUGACGGAGCCACGCCGCGUGAGUGAUGAAGGUCUUCGGAUCGUAAAACUCUGUUAUUAGGGAAGAACAAAUGUGUAAGUAACUAUGCACGUCUUGACGGUACCUAAUCAGAAAGCCACGGCUAACUACGUG
rnacentral:rRNA from 1 species